UACGUAGGGUGCAAGCGUUAAUCGGAAUUACUGGGCGUAAAGCGUGCGCAGGCGGUUUGGUAAGACAGAUGUGAAAUCCCCGGGCUUAACCUGGGAAUUGCAUUUGUGACUGCCCGGCUAGAGUUUGGCAGAGGGGGGGUAGAAUUCCACGUGUAGCAGUGAAAUGCGUAGAUAUGUGGAGGAAUACCGAUGGCGAAGGCAGCCCCCUGGGUCAAGACUGACGCUCAUGCACGAAAGCGUGGGGAGCAAACAGG
rnacentral:rRNA from 1 species